rnacentral:rRNA from 1 species
AUUGAACGCUGGCGGCAUGCCUUACACAUGCAAGUCGAACGGCAGCGCGGGGCAACCUGGCGGCGAGUGGCGAACGGGUGAGUAAAAUAUCGGAACAUACCCUAGAGUGGGGGAUAACGUAGCGAAAGUUACGCUAAUACCGCAUACGCACUAAGGUGGAAAGUGGGGGAUCUUCGGACCUCAUGCUCAUGGAGUGGCCGAUAUCUGAUUAGCUAGUUGGUGAGGUAAAGGCUCACCAAGGCGACGAUCAGUAGCUGGUUUGAGAGAACGACCAGCCACACUGGAACUGAGACACGGUCCAGACUCCUACGGGAGGCAGCAGUGGGGAAUUUUGGACAAUGGGGCAACCCUGAUCCAGCAAUGCCGCGUGAGUGAAGAAGGCC